rnacentral:rRNA from 1 species
UACGGAGGGAGCUAGCGUUGUUCGGAAUUACUGGGCGUAAAGCGCGCGUAGGCGGCUUUGUAAGUUAGAGGUGAAAGCCCGGGGCUCAACCCCGGAAUUGCCUUUAAGACUGCAUCGCUUGAAUCCGGGAGAGGUGAGUGGAAUUCCGAGUGUAGAGGUGAAAUUCGUAGAUAUUCGGCGGAACACCAAGUGGCGGAAGGGCGACUCACUGGCCCGAUACCUGACGCUGAGGCGCGAAAGCGUGGGAGCAAACAGGAUUGAGAACCC